UCUCCUUCGCUUGAGUAAACUGGACACAAGCCAGCCUGGCACCCGGGCUUCUGCUAUGAGUUGGCUGUAACAGGCUAUCCGUGCAGAAGGGUCCACUGCAGCUCUUGUGGAACCAAGUUCUCUUUAUCACCUGCCACUAGAGACUUCCUUUGCCCCUCCCUUCCCGGCUCCAGCCUGGGUGUUGUGCAAGAGCCAGAGGAAUUUGUGAUAAUGGAGCCACAAGCCCAGGCCCAACCCAGGCCCAAGGAACUUGACCUGAAGCAGGAGGGUAAGCAAGAACCUCCUAGCUCCCAGGCCAGAAGGGUGGCCGGCAGCCACAAGGAAACUCCUAGUCCUUCUAAAUGCUGCCAAGGAGAGGAGCAACGGGAAUACAGUGGGCAGGGCUGCCAUCUUGCCUGGGAAAGUCACCGAGGUAUCAUGGUCUUGAAAGCGGGGAUGGGGGGUGGGGGAGUGGGGGAGUGGGAGGUAGGGGGGGGGGGUGGGGAAGUGGGGGGUAGGGGGGGAUGGGUUCACUGUCAUGUGACUGAUUUAGAAUCACCUAUGAGAUAUGAUGGCUGUAACUUGGGAUGUUUCCAGGGAAACUACUCAAGAAGGAAGACCCACCAUGAAUGUUACCACCAUCCUAUGCUGGGAGCUUGGACUGAGUAAGAAGGAGGAAAGAAGCUAAGCCCUACUGUUUGUCAUUCUCUAUUUCUUGGUUGAGAUGCAAGGUCACCGGCUGCCUUGCACUCCCCAUGUCAAGCCUUCCUUGAAGGAAUGGAGACAUUCCUUCAAACCACGAGCCAAAAUGAACCCUUGCUUCCUUAAUAUUCUUUGUUGUUAUGUGUGUGUGUGUGUGUGUGUGUGUGUGUGUGUGUGUGUGUUUUGUUUUGUUAUUUCAUCACAGCAAGGAGACAUAUAACCAACACAAGUAGAUGUUCACUAGACACAGUGGUGGGAAGGUAGGAGUUUCGAACAGAACAAACCCUGACCAGAACUGUCUCUCAGGACAAGCUGCUUUCACCUUCCACUUCUCCAAGGAAUCGGGGGACAGAAGGGCAGAGUGGGGUUGCCUUCACAGUCUACUUCCUUGAUCUGGAACAUUCUGCUCACAGCUACUGAAAUCCCCAUUGCAACCAUCUAAUAACAACCUGCUCUCUGGGCUGAAGAAAUGGUUCAGCGGUUAAGAGCACUGGCUGUUCUUCUUUAGAACCUGGGUUCAAUUCCCAGCAUCCACACGGCAGCUCAUACCUGUUUGUAACUCUAAGAUCUGAUACCCUCACACAGACAUACAUGCAGGCAAAAUACCAAUGCAAGUGAAAUAAAAGUAAAUUAUUAAAAAAAAAAAUCUUUAUC
rnacentral:lncRNA from 1 species